rnacentral:rRNA from 1 species
UACGGGGGGGGCAAGCGUUGUUCGGAAUUACUGGGCGUAAAGGGCUCGUAGGCGGCCAACUAAGUCAGGGGUGAAAUCCUGGAGCUCAACUCCAGAACUGCCUUUGAUACUGGCGAUCUCGAGUCCGGGAGAGGUGAGUGGAACUGCGAGUGUAGAGGUGAAAUUCGUAGAUAUUCGCAAGAACACCAGUGGCGAAGGCGGCUCACUGGCCCGGUACUGACGCUGAGGUGCGAAAGCGUGGGGAGCAAACAGG